GCGACCUACAUUACAGUUCACGGAAACGCUGGAUCCCCAACCACUGAGCGAGGCCAGGGAUCAAACCUCAUGGUUCCUAGUCGGAUUCAUUAACCACUGAGCCAUGACGGGAACUCCUGUUCUUCCUGAUUUUUAUUGCAGUAACAUAGGUUUCACAAGCCAAAAUCAAGGUAUUGACUGACCUGGCUCUUACCUGGAGUUUGUGGGGGAGAAUCUAAUUCCAGGCUCACCCAGGUUGUUGGAAGGAUUCAGUUCCAAUUAAAGGACUGAGAUCCCUGUUUCUUGAUGAUUGUUGGCUGCACGACUGUCAUCUUUUAGAGGCUACUUGGCCCCCUCCAUCUUCAAAGCCAGCCAGCCCUAGGUGUCCUGCAUGCCACACCCUCAUCCCAGCUCUUCAUGGAGAGGUCCAGAAGUUGAAGCACCACGUGGAGAAAGGCCACAAACAGGAGAACUGAGGCACCCUGCCAAACUUCCAGCUGAAUGGGGCAUAUGAGUGAUCUAGCUGGCAUGAUGUGACACAGAAUUACCUAGGCCACCCACAGAAUGGUGAGAUACUAUAUCGUGUUUGAGGCCACCAGGUUUGGGAUGGUUCCUUAGGCAGCAAUAGAUAACUGAUCACCUUGGUUCACAACUCCCCACCCACCUGAGGUACAACUGAAAGGAAAUGGGAGAAAAAGCCAUAACUGAGUAUGCUUCUUCCACUGGAGAGAUUAGAGGCUUGUACUAUCCAUUAUAUUUCAAUUUCAGAAAAAAAAUUAAUGUUACUUUUCUCAUAUACCUGAACAUGUAUAAAAUUCAUAUCCUCUCAAUGUACUUACAACAUGAAAAGAAAACAAAGCUGAUCAUUGCUUAGGGAGUUGCCAUCUGCUGACCAGUUCCCACCACUCCAGCUCCUUUGGUGACGGUACUCUAUCUUUCUCUUUGGCAAGCUGCCCCUCCUCCACUCUUUGAGGACCUGGAGGUCCUUCCAUUCAGGGUGCCUGGCCUGUGUCCAGGAAUGGACUUAUGAGUGCUAGCACAAGAACUGAAAGCCACUGGGCCUGUGUCAUUCCGGUGGUCCAGGAGACACCACCCAAAUGUUCCUGCUACCAAGAUUCCUGGACCUUCUUGGGCUCCUUGUCUGCCCUGCACCUCGGAGUUGGUUGGCACCUUCCAAAACUCUCCUUUCCCUUAAUUUAGCCAGAAUUGGUCUCUAUUGUCUGUCACCAAAGAGCCCUGAUUAACAUGUAA